rnacentral:lncRNA from 1 species
GUACUUUUAUACUUUGGAGGCACUUUUCCCUCCCUGAUGCUGAGAGGAGAGGAUGUGAGCAGGAGGGAGAGGAAGCAGAGAGAUGGCUGAGCGGAAUAUGUGGGUCUUUGUUUACAGGAGAAGGAUAAAGUUAAACGGGAGCCGGGAGGCUUGGCCUCUCCCCACAGUCAUAACUGCUUCAUCAGAAAGCCUUGAUGGAAGACAGAGCACUCUGCUGAAUACCCUACAACAGAUCUAAAUUCAGUUCAACCUAAAAACUGUCUGUGGUGCCUAGUAUGUGUCCAGAACCGGGGCUACGGAGGUGAGGUCUUAUGAAAUGGACGUGUUCACAACCAGCUGUACCAAGGAGGGUUAUGAGAGCCCAGAGCCAAUGCAAAGACAAAGAUAAAGAGAUGUCAACACUGACGCUUACCCUCUAAGAACCUGCCAUCUAAAAUUAACAGCGUGGAAGAGGACAUUAAACAAAGCACGCGCAUACAGUCACAGGGACUAUUAACGCCACGAGGAUGAAUCUGCCCCGCACACCGCCCCAGCAGCAGCGGCGAGAAGGAGCACGUCUGUGGUGCUCCAUCUAUGCCAGGCAUGCUUAAAAGGCUUCACAUACGUUAACUCUUCGUCUCCUCCUAGCAACCUCGUGAAGUAGAUAAUAUAAUUUUCCCGUUUUAAAGAUGAGGAAACUGGGCACUCGCCCACCUAGCAAGACACAUCUAGUCAGUGGCAGGGCCAGAUGUAUGAACACAGGAAGUCUGGUUCUAGUUUUUGAAACCAAAUCGUAUCUGGCUUCAACCUCACCAGGGUGGAU